GAGGCCGAGCGGCGCUGAUUCCGGCUGCCUGGGCGGAGGAGCGGAGACCACAGCAGCGGGCGCUGCCGUCCUGCCGGGCGAAAAGCCGCAGCCCCUGGGGAUGUUCGCUGGUCGCGCCCGCUUGCGCGCGCAGGUGUUUUCUGAGAGCCAAUGGGCUGUCAGUAGGUGACGUUUUCUGGAGCUGGCAGCCAAUGGGCUGUCACUGCCUGGGGGCGGAGAUCUCCGCAGGUGCCGCGGCUUAGAAACGUCUCGAAGACGCGGGACAGUUUGGAGUCGCUGAGCGGAAGGCGGGAAAUCCCCAGGCUGGGGCGCGAGGAUCCUGCGGGCAGCGAGCCAGCCGCAGGUCCGCGGGCGCGGGCCGGACCGGACCGGACCGGACCGGACUCCGUGCGUCGCGGCGGGUCUGCUCUAGCGCAGAUGAGACAGAGAAGACAGAAGCUCACACCCUGGCACAGGUUUGGGCAGUGAUGGCUGUUGGCUUAUUCGCUGUGCUUGCGGAGAACUUGUCCAGGCCAGUAGAGCAGCCCAGCCAGAUGAGGACCUGAGCAGCCUGGACAUCCCACUCGGCGGGAGCUGAGGAGCCCAAGAGUUCUGUCUGGUGAUGGAGGAGGAGCAGCUGUGUAUUUUGCUGAAAUGAUGUCUCUCUAUCAAGUGUCUGAGUAGCAAGGUGCCUCCCUGAGAGCAGAGAGCUGCUUCUUCUUUGCAAGGGAUGGGUCCUGGGGAGGUUGGAGCCCUGCAUUUGGCUGCUAAUGGGCUAGGAGCAUCACCCUGCUCCCCAAGAUUGAAUGUGAAGAAGGAAAACCUGCCUGCAACUAGGGACACUCUGUCAUUCCUGGUCUGUCCUUCCAAGUCACUGGUGUGAGUCACUGGACAAAAUAUCGAGUACAGCCAAAGAAAACCAUCUUCUGUUCCUUCAGAGGACCUGAGCAUCCUGGCCAGGCAUGGGAUGGGAUAGGGGUAGGGAGAGACCUGCAGGACUGUUGUCCCUUACCAGGGCUGAUCACUUCAAGCGCUGGCUAGGCUGGUGGGGACUAGGGAAGGGGGCUCCAGGAAGCAGAAACCAGUGACCCGACUGCCCAUGUCUGUCCUCCAUGCCCCAGUGCUGGCCUGCGUUCUCUUUUCAGUUCCUAAUGGCGUUGGGCAGAUGAGAGAAUGGCCAACCUGGAGGAGAGACCAGGAGAAGGAGCAGCCACUCUGAGACCAUUCAGCGGAAUGGAAACCAGACGGUGAGCUGUGGAGUAGGUGCAAAUAGAAAUUUACUUAAGUUCCUAUUGAUUUUGGGUAGAUGAGAGAAUGACCAACCUGUGGCUGAGACCAUCCAGGGAGAUGGAAACCAGACAGUGAUCUACGGAGGAAGAGCAAAUAAAAAUCUGCUUAAGUUAAGUAUUGAGGGAGGGCUCCAAAAACUCUUGUCAGCAUGGGGUGGGUCCCUGAGAAAAGGCCUUUGCAUCUCUCUGGGACAUGAUAUGCUUGGGGGAGCCCUUUGUGCCCUCUCAAGGAGUUGUCCAGUGCUAUGAAGUCUUCCUGAAGUACGGUAACUUUAUGGAGAGCAACAUCCCUGUAACCAGAGAUACUCAGUCCUCAAUUCUGUUCCUUCUACAUCACUGGGUGAGCUUCCCUGGUCACACCCUACCAACUCUGGCUUGCUUCAGAGGACGUGAGUGGGGGAGCCCCGAGGGUAGCCCUUGGCAUGUGUUUCUGACCACCAGGGUGCACCACCCAGGGCAGGUGGAGGGUCCAGGGCUCAGCACAGCAUCCUGGACUGAUGUGCUCUGGCAGAGUGGGUUCUGCUCCCUGAGGGCUGUGCUGGCCCCACAGCCAGGUCCUGGGCGGCUCUUAUGGGCUGUGAGCAGUCAAAGGGCAGGAGGGAGCUGAGGAGCAGCCGCAGCACCAGGUCCCAAGCAGCAGGAGGACAAGAUGGGGAAGCUCUGCAGCUGUGUGCACCAUGACAUAAGCUAAUGCAGCAGCCGCCUCACCUGCCUGACUCUAGUUUCUGGCCUCUGACAUGGCCAGGGCCUUGGAGGGGGCAGGGCCGGAUCUAGGUUUUUUGCCACCCCAAGCAAAAAAUUUGCUGCUCCAAGAGUGCAACUGCCCAAGCAAAAAAAAAGGGGGGGGGGGUGCCACCCACAAUGCCACCCCUGGAAUUGUGCCGCCCCAAGCUAGAGCCGGUCCUGGAACAGGGGCUGGCACUUCACUGUGGAGGAGCAAGGGGUGGAGCCAUAGGGAGGGGCAGAGUCUCAUGGCAAGUGGGGUUGCAGCUGCCACAAUUUUCUGUCUAUUCCCCCCCACCCUCCCCAACCACCACCGGAAGAGGUUGGCGCUGCUGGGGAUGUUACUGUUCUUCUCUGACAAACACUCUGUGCAUUAUCCUGACUGGCCACUGGGUGUCACUGCUGCUCCAUGGAAGAGACACUCCAUGGAUUACCUCUGACUGGCCUCUGGUGUCAUUGCUGCUCCAAGGCAGAUGCACUCUGUGCAAUAUCCUCACUGGUCACCCACCGGGUGUGUCUGCUGCUCCAGGGCAGAUUCAUUCUAUGAUUUACCCUGACUGACCACCAACUGUCAUAGCUGAUCCUGGGGAAACAGUCUGGUCAUUAUCCUGACUGGCCACUGGGUGUCACUGCCGCUCCAGGGGACACCGGUGCAUUACCCUGACUGGCCUCUAAGAUAAAUGUGUGGUAAAGGCUGAGUACAGACUCCGGCUUCCCUCUAGCUGCAGCUUAGUUUCUAAUAAAAGGUUUUCUGCUCAUUCUGAGUGCAGGGGGAGAAUUUCUCCAUCUUCAUAGAAUAUUAGGGUUGGAAGAGACCUCAGGAGGUCAUCCAGUCCAAUCCCCUGCUCAAAGCAGGACCAACCCCAACUAAAUCAUCCCAGCCAAGGCUUUGUCAAGCCGGGCCUUAAAAACCUCUAAGGAUGGAGAUUCUACCACCUCCCUAGGUAACCCAUGCCAGUGUUUCACCACCCUCCUAGUGAAAAAGCUUUUCCUAAUAUCCAACCUAAACGUCCCUGUCAUAAAUAUAAAAGGAAGGGUAAACACCUUUAAAAUCCCUCCUGGCCAGAGGAAAAACCCUUUCACCUGUAAAGGGUUAAGAAGCUAAGAUAACCUCGCUGGCACCUGACCAAAAUGAUGAAUGAGGAGACAAGAUAAUUUCAAAAGCUGGAGGGAGGGAAAAACAAAGCUCUCUCUCUCUCUCUCUCUCUCUCUCUGAUGCUUUUGCCAGGAACAGAACAAGAAUGAAGUCUUAGAACUUAGUAAGUAAUCUAGCCAGAGAUGCGUUAGAUUUUGUUUUCUUUAAAUGGCUGAGAAAAUAAGCUGUGCUGAAUGGAAUGUAGAUUCCUGUCUUUGUCUUUUUGUAAUUUAAGGUUUAUACUAGAGGGAUUCUCUAUGUUUUGAAUCUGAUUACCCUGUAGGGUAUUUACCAUCCUGA